UGGGGAAUAUUGGACAAUGGGCGAAAGCCUGAUCCAGCCAUGCCGCGUGUGUGAAGAAGGUCUUCGGAUUGUAAAGCACUUUAAGUUGGGAGGAAGGGCAGUAAGUUAAUACCUUGCUGUUUUGACGUUACCGACAGAAUAAGCACCGGCUAACUCUGUGCCAGCAGCCGCGGUAAUACAGAGGGUGCAAGCGUUAAUCGGACUUACUGGGCGUAAAGCGCGCGUAGGUGGUUUGUUAAGUUGGAUGUGAAAGCCCCGGGCUCAACCUGGGAACUGCAUCCAAAACUGGCAAGCUAGAGUACGGUAGAGGGUGGUGGAAUUUCCUGUGUAGCGGUGAAAUGCGUAGAUAUAGGAAGGAACACCAGUGGCGAAGGCGACCACCUGGACUGAUACUGACACUGAGGUGCGAAAGCGUGGGGAGCAAACA
rnacentral:rRNA from 1 species